AGAAUCAACGCUGGCGGCGUGCCUAACACAUGCAAGUCGCACGAGAAAGGGGAGCAAUCCCUGAGUAAAGUGGCGCACGGGUGAGUAACACGUGAAUCAUCUACCUUCGAGUGGGGAAUAACUGGAAGAAAUUUCAGCUAAUACCGCAUAAUACCUACGGGUCAAAGCAGUAAUGCGCUUGAAGAGGAGUUCGCGGCAGAUUAGUUAGUUGGCGGGGUAAUGGCCCACCAAGACGAUGAUCUGUA
rnacentral:rRNA from 1 species